AAAGUAAACACUCUUUAUGAACAAUAGACAUGGUCAUUGAAUAAAUCUUGAGGAAUUUGAAAAUAGUUUGAAGAUAAAGAUCAAUUGAUAACUUGAAAAAAAGAGCAGCAACUGAUAAUGGGUAAUUGAAUUAUACUUUAAAAUGGUGCUACAAGGUAGAAAUUUUUUUUGGAUCUCAUGAAUGAGAAAAUUGAGAUAAAAAACUUCACAAACAGGAACUGAAAACAUGAUUAACAGUCUCGGAGUGUAUGGGGGUAUCGUUGUGUCCCUUAGACAUCCAUCCAUCCAUCCAUGGCCUAUGAAGAUGACUUCCUAUAAGUAUCCAUCACUCAAUCGCAUGGCACCACUAAUUAGCUGCCUCAGGUUCUCGUUAUUCCUGGGUGUUUUGCCUUUGUUCCUUGUCUUUAUCUGUCAUUGUUUAUGCCAGUUGUGCUCUUCCUAUACUUCUCUUUAAUCAUCUGGCACUGUGGCUCUUCCUUAGCCUAUUGUUUAUGUCUGGAAACUCCAGGUGUAAAUUACACAAGGAAAACUUGAGCAGAAAGGUCUGAAGAAUGGAGAAAUGGACAUAAAAAACUACGAGACUUAUCUAGAUGUACAAGAACAAUGAAAAGCACUGAUGCCACUCUACAUCUUUAUUCCUCAGUAACUAAUAAAAACACAGAGACAAGGCCUUAAGAGCCUUCUCAAUCCAACUCAAAACCCGCUGUAUCAUGUGUU
rnacentral:lncRNA from 1 species